CCUGACGUUGCUUGGGAAAAACUGUUUAGUCUUGGGUUACUUGUUCUGCAAAAACCGGAUGUGGUUAAUGUGCUUAAAAGCGGUCCUACACAAAGGGUCACUGCUGCUCUCUGGUCUCCCUGCGUGGAGAAUGGCAGAGCAGUCGCCGGGUCGUCCGGCCGCCCGGCUAAUAAAGGCUCCCUAAAUUUUAAUUUGGUCUGGACUCCAGUGGUCAUUCACUCGCAUCCGCUCCACAACAUUUGGAGGCCCUAGCGAGAUCACCAGCCUUUGCCUGGUCCUGUGACCAGAGCCCACCGGGGUCCCUGGACUCUCCAACCCAGGGGGAGAUCUCUGAGAGAUGUUCCUCAGCCCCGGGACUGGUAGAGGUCGGAAACCCCGUCUGCUAAAUUUCCUGAUUGACUCUGAUUAGAGCCACCUGGAUCUGGUUCCUACCGUUCUUACAGGCUUUACAGUCUACCCAGAAAUCAGUCCAGAAGCAUCUCUGAUCCGGUCCAUCCUUCCACCCUGGUGACUCUGUUUGGGUAAAGAAAAUUGCCACACAAGGACUGACUCCUACCUGGAAAGGACACCCCCACAGCAGUCAAGGUCGAUGGGAUCCCGACAUGGCUUCAUCACACUCAGCUCAAGAUAUCAAGCUUAUAGUCCUCAUGGGUCAAUAUAACUCCCUCGCCAACAAUGACCCAAAAGAGUCAAUGAUUUGACUCAUGUACAUAAAACCAGUGGGGAAUGUUGGAGAGUGGGGAUUUUUGAGCACUACUGAGGCCGUGGACUAUGCCCCAGAUAGAGAUGUCAGUGCUGACACUAGGCCAAGCCUUGAGCUAGGGUCUCAUGGCCCCUUCCCAGCACGUAGCCUUCUUUCAUAGAACACUGUCAGCUUUCUGGAGAACAGGAUGACCCUGUGAAUAACAUGGUCGUCAUUGGCAUGAUCCUGACGUUGCUUGGGAAAAACUGUUUUGUCUUGGGUUACUUGUUCUGCAAAAACCGGAUGUGGUUUAUGUGCUUAAAAGUGGUCCUACACAAAGGGUCACUGCUGCUCUCUGGUCUCCCUGCGUGGAGAAUGGCAGAGCAGUCACCGGGUCGUCCGGCCGCCCGGCUAGUAAAGGCUCCCUAAAUUUUAA